rnacentral:lncRNA from 1 species
ACUUCGCAGAAAGUGAAAGCUGUGUCUCCAGUAAGGAGGAAGUGUGCAUUUAGCAAGAGAUCCUGAGCUGAUGGUAUGAAAUUCUGUUGUGUGAGCGAUGAUGCCACAACAUACCUUUCUGGCCGGACAAGGUUAAUGGAAUCAACUCAUGUGAGCUUCUGGAGCUCUUCUAGUUGGGCACAGGAUCAUCUUGCCAUCAAAUGUGACCUGACACGCUCAACAACAGUUGAUAUAUGUGCAGUAGUUACUAAGGCUAAACUCUUGAUCAAUAUGUCAGAUUUCAAAAGCGAUUGCAACAAAGUAGACUCUGGAUUAUGAGGGAGCUGAAUGCACAAAGGCAAUGGAAGGACAAAUCAGGCAGGACUGCCUGCAUUUUGCAUGUCAAAGGACAGAGCGCAUGAUGCUGGAUCUAUAAAUGCUCCAAGUACUUAGGAAGGCAGUAGUCUGUGGAUCAUUUGGUGGACUAAAAAUGUUAAACAUUACAAGUUAAUUAUUAGUAAGAAGAAAGAGAAAAGAAGCAUGAGCACACAGAGUUCUGUAAACCCCAGUAAUUCUGCCCAGGCCUGUGACUUGCUCAGACCUCACCUAAGCAUCCAUUAACAUGAUAAUGCGCAUUAAUCCCGCCAAACACAACUCAUCUGUCAUCCUCAGUGGCAACCCAUCUGUGUGCAUGUUGAGGGGGGAAAUUCACAGUCUUAGCUGUCGAGGGAUUAGCUUCAGAGGAAAGGCUGAUUUUCCGUAAUUCUUUGCUAGGAAAGCACUCAUUUGUUUGCAUUUAUUGAAGCACCUAUUUACUUUUCAGCUUUCAUCAUCUCACCAACAUCUUAAGCAGAAGCUAAGCAGAGAAUGGAUAAAAUGGCAAUAAAAACAUUUCAGGACAAUCAGGAUGAAGCCUAAAUUCUCUCUCAAAGUUUGUCAUAUUAUUUAUUCUUAUUUCUUUGGCUGAUCUUAGAUAUGCUUUCUGUCAGAGUGAAGGAGAAAUAUGCACAUAAUUUUAUAUCUUUAAAUGUUGUUUAUUAAUGGGCUGUGCUCUUCUAUAUUGUUUUUAUCUAAUUGAUAUAAAAUGGGUAAAAAAUGUAUGUUUUAUUGCCAUAUUUAUUAUCUGCUGUGUGAAUAAGAAAGAGAUGACACUGCUUCAGAGGGGGUAAAAAUUAAAACCAGCUUAAUUUUUUUUCUCACUACUUAUUUAAAAACAUGCACAGUGAUUUCUCUCCUUGACAUGAAACCUUAUCCAGUGGUUAAACUGGUCUGUUCUUCAGGCUAUAUCUAACUUUGGACAAAAUUAUAUAUGUAUAAUAAACAACACAGAUUUCCUUCUAAUGUGAACCUACAAAAAUAUGAAACACAUUGGGAAGGGAAAUACCAUUAAAAUGUUUUGAGGGUAAACUAUUCCAUCCAGUCAAUUUAGUGGAAAGAGAAAUCAGUCACAAGGCAUCAUGACUGGUUGGUUGGCUUAAUUGUUCACUUUUCAAUGGGUUAGUUUUGAAUAAUCUGGCAAUGACCCCCUGUGUUAAGGAAAAGAUGCAAAUAACCAUUUAAAAAUAGCCAUCAUCAAGCAACCAAUUUGGCUGAUUUUUCAUCAAAAUGAUCUGUCAUUUAAUUAAACUGAUCAGCAAGUUUAUUCAAGAAUCAUAUUAUUCUUUGGGAAUGGAUAGGCAUUUUUUGUUAACACUUAUAAAGGCAGUGACUCUUUUAUUUUAGUUUGGCUGGUCUAACAUGCCAUAAAGUAUGUCCUGUGUGAUGUUAAAAAACCUUACAUGCAAAUGUUUCAUCACAUAAUAAGUUUGAUAAAAACUGAGCUAAAUAAAGUUAACCAGAUUAAUUCAUUCAGGACAUCUUGGUUAAUAAAUUCUGUGCGUCUGUAUUUCAGAAACACACAAGGAAGUUAUUUUACAUUUUAAACUGUUUCCUCUUCUGAAAAGUGGGGACAAAGAUAGGACCUCAAAUCAAUUAGCUAAUAUUGUUAGAAUGUAUAUUUUUUUCCAAACAUAUUUGGCAAAGUAUCUUUCUCCCAAGUAGCAUUGCCUGGAAAUUAAUCUGCAGACUUUACUCCCCUAGAGUAACACUGUAAGAUUUCUGUUGUUAGAAAUAUCUAUUGGAAGAUUUUUCCAACUAAUAAACACUCAAUGUGAAGAGCUAACAGCAUAUUUAAGAAAGAAAAAAAAAGAGGCAAUUAAAAUUAAAGCCAAUACAUUUCAGGAUAAAGGAUCAAACUCUAAAACUUGUUACUUGAACAACCUCUUUUUGGGUACCUGGUACUAAACACUCAUUACCACCUGUCCAUCACACCUGGAAAAUGAAACAGAUGUUAGAAAGCUGACACAGUAAAGCAAGGACUACUAUUUAGCUUUCGUUUUCUUUAUUCUUCCUUUCAAGAUGCUGCUAAUGGAAAUGACCUAGAAAUCUGUGUAUGGCAGCACUUCUGAAAAAGAACAUCUAUGUAAAUAGAGCAUGAAGGAGGCAUGAAAGAAUCUAGCAAGCUCCAUUUGGGUCUUUAGACCUAAUAGCCCAGAUUUGGCCCUCAGAUGUGCAUGCAUGCACGAGGUAAUACUAAAUUUGACUGAAGCUAUGAAAACAAUCCUAAAGCAAAAUGAGUCCAAUGCUUGAUACCUAAAGAGUUGAAACUGCAAUUUCCAGACGAGAUAGUCAUAGAAAAGUUACUUGGGCGCAGAAGUGUCCUUCAUCCUCACUGAGACUAAGCGUGGCAUUUUAAGGAAAAGAAAAAUAGAGUUUUUAAUUUUUUUAGAGAGCUAAUAACAAGAUUUCUUUUCAAGUUUAUUUGAAUACAUUAAAAGUAAAUUUUGUGAAAUAAAAAACACUUCAUUUCAAUCAUUUAAAAAUAUGUGGGUAUUUGUGAGCUAUCAAAGUCAGUGAAAGAUUUAAAACUUGUAUAUGAGUAUAGAACUUCAGUUCCACCAAAGUGAACUCAGUGCAUUUGCUUGAAUAUGCAAUGGUGCAGUCACUAAAAUAAAUGUACUUGCUGCACUCAAUUAAACAUUGUAUUGUACAUGUGUGUUUAUUCAAUUGUGUGACGAUACAGUGAUUGAAACACACACGCUUGCGCAUUUGUCUCAAUCUGCAGUGCAUUUAUUUAAAUGUACAAUCAAUCAUAGGCCUCUGCUUUUAGAUUUUCCUUUGUAUUUUUAGAGAAUACUAAGUAUAAACCAUUGUGUAUAUGCUAUGACAUAGUGAAGAACUGAAAUGUACAUUAAAUAAAGCAAUAUAAAAUUGGAAAUUUCAGAGAAAGAAAUUAUGCGACCAAUAUGUGUAAAUGGGUAACUGCUGUCAAGUCUAAUAUAUAAGGUCAGAGUUUUAUGUUCUGAACUGCUCCAGUUGAUAAAUAGCUGUGUGAAUCAUGGUAUUAAUAUAUCUUUAACGGUAAUUAACCAAAAUGAUGUAAAAGAUAUUCAAAGCUAUAUUAAAAUAUUUACUUCAUAUUUGUAAA